UUUUGUGUACUUGUUGAAUACACCGAUUCUCGUCCGAUCACUGAAGUUAAGCGUCAACGAGCGUGGUUAGUACCUGGAUGGGUGACCUCAUAUUCAGUAUCACAUAAU
rnacentral:rRNA from 1 species